rnacentral:rRNA from 1 species
GUCGAGCGGAUCGAUGGGAGCUUGCUCCCUGAGAUCAGCGGCGGACGGGUGAGUAACACGUGGGUAACCUGCCUGUAAGACUGGGAUAACUCCGGGAAACCGGGGCUAAUACCGGAUAACACCUACCCCCGCAUGGGGGAAGGUUGAAAGGUGGCUUCGGCUAUCACUUACAGAUGGACCCGCGGCGCAUUAGCUAGUUGGUGAGGUAAUGGCUCACCAAGGCGACGAUGCGUAGCCGACCUGAGAGGGUGAUCGGCCACACUGGGACUGAGACACGGCCCAGACUCCUACGGGAGGCAGCAGUAGGGAAUCUUCCGCAAUGGACGAAAGUCUGACGGAGCAACGCCGCGUGAGUGAAGAAGGUUUUCGGAUCGUAAAACUCUGUUGUUAGGGAAGAACAAGUGCCGUUCGAAUAGGGCGGCGCCUUGACGGUACCUAACCAGAAAGCCACGGCUAACUACGUGCCAGCAGCCGCGGUAAUACGUAGGUGGCAAGCGUUGUCCGGAAUUAUUGGGCGUAAAGCGCGCGCAGGUGGUUUCUUAAGUCUGAUGUGAAAGCCCACGGCUCAACCGUGGAGGGUCAUUGGAAACUGGGGAACUUGAGUGCAGAAGAGGAAAGUGGAAUUCCAAGUGUAGCGGUGAAAUGCGUAGAUAUUUGGAGGAACACCAGUGGCGAAGGCGACUUUCUGGUCUGUAACUGACACUGAGGCGCGAAAGCGUGGGGGAGCAAACAGGAUUAGAUACCCUGGUAGUCCACGCCGUAAACGAUGAGUGCUAAGUGUUAGAGGGUUUCCGCCCUUUAGUGCUGCAGCUAACGCAUUAAGCACUCCGCCCUGGGGAGUACGGUCGCAAGACUGAAACUCAAAGGAAUUGACGGGGGCCCGCACAAGCGGUGGAGCAUGUGGUUUAAUUCGAAGCAACGCGAAGAACCUUACCAGGUCUUGACAUCCUCUGACAACCCUAGAGAUAGGGCUUUCCCCUUCGGGGGACAGAGUGACAGGUGGUGCAUGGUUGUCGUCAGCUCGUGUCGUGAGAUGUUGGGUUAAGUCCCGCAACGAGCGCAACCCUUGAUCUUAGUUGCCAGCAUUCAGUUGGGCACUCUAAGAUGACUGCCGGUGACAAACCGGAGGAAGGUGGGGAUGACGUCAAAUCAUCAUGCCCCUUAUGACCUGGGCUACACACGUGCUACAAUGGACGGUACAAAGGGCUGCAAGACCGCGAGGUUUAGCCAAUCCCAUAAAACCGUUCUCAGUUCGGAUUGUAGGCUGCAACUCGCCUACAUGAAGCUGGAAUCGCUAGUAAUCGCGGAUCA